CACGUAGGGGGCAAGCGUUGUCCGGAUUUAUUGGGCGUAAAGAGCGUGUAGGCGGCCAUACAGGUCAGCUGUGAAAACUCGAGGCUCAACCUCGAGACGUCGGUUGAAACCGUUUGGCUAGAGUCCGGAAGAGGAGAGUGGAAUUCCCGGUGUAGCGGUGAAAUGCGCAGAUAUCAGGAAGAACACCCGUGGCUAAGGCGGCUCUCUAGUACGGUACUGACGCUGAGACGCGAAAGCGUGGGGAGCGAACAGG
rnacentral:rRNA from 1 species